rnacentral:rRNA from 1 species
UAGGGAAUCUUCGGCAAUGGGGGCAACCCUGACCGAGCUACGCCGCGUGAGUGAAGAAGGUUUUCGGAUCGUAAAGCUCUGUUGUAAGAGAAGAACGUGUGUGAGAGUGGAAAGUUCACACAGUGACGGUAACUUACCAGAAAGGGACGGCUAACUACGUGCCAGCAGCCGCGGUAAUACGUAGGUCCCGAGCGUUGUCCGGAUUUAUUGGGCGUAAAGCGAGCGCAGGCGGUUUAAUAAGUCUGAAGUUAAAGGCAGUGGCUUAACCAUUGUUCGCUUUGGAAACUGUUAAACUUGAGUGCAGAAGGGGAGAGUGGAAUUCCAUGUGUAGCGGUGAAAUGCGUAGAUAUAUGGAGGAACACCGGUGGCGAAAGCGGCUCUCUGGUCUGUAACUGACGCUGAGGCUCGAAAGCGUGGGGAGCAAACAGG